AUUGAACGCUGGCGGCAUGCCUUACACAUGCAAGUCGAACGGUAACGCGGGGCAACCUGGCGACGAGUGGCGAACGGGUGAGUAAUGCAUCGGAACGUGCCCAGUAGUGGGGGAUAGCCCGGCGAAAGCCGGAUUAAUACCGCAUACGACCUAAGGGUGAAAGGGGGGGAUCGCAAGACCUCUCGCUAUUGGAGCGGCCGAUGUCAGAUUAGGUAGUUGGUGGGGUAAAGGCCUACCAAGCCGACGAUCUGUAGCUGGUCUGAGAGGACGACCAGCCACACUGGGACUGAGACACGGCCCAGACUCCUACGGGAGGCAGCAGUGGGGAAUUUUGGACAAUGGACGCAAGUCUGACCCAGCCAUGCCGCGUGCGGGAAGAAGGCCUUCGGGUUGUAAACCGCUUUUGUCAGGGAAGAAAUCUUCUGGGCUAAUACCUCGGGAGGAUGACGGUGCCUGAAGAAUAAGCACCGGCUAACUACGUGCCAGCCGCCGCGGUAA
rnacentral:rRNA from 1 species